ensembl:lncRNA
CUGGGAGCCUGGCCGGCAGAAAACAAACAAACAAUGCUAUGGACAACACAAGAGUCCCUAGUAGAGCACAACGGCGUAGAUUCAGGUGUUCGGUUGCCAACUACCAUGGAUACUACAAUGGACCCAAAAGAGACGCUGCUCGGAGGCUCAUCUGGAUCCUCCUAGCUUGCACUCCACCACCUUCAACUACUCCACUGCGUGCUACAAUUACCGAUGAUCUACCUGGAACGAGGACCCAGCAAACAAGGCGAAUGAGAGACGUCGAUGUGCUGGUAAACCAGAUGCAAGUCAUGACUCAACAAUGGAAGGAGGACAUGGACACGGUUGAUCGCCAGCAUCCUCCGCACUGACAGUAUGGUUGAGAAGCUGAUGCAGAGAAUGGAUAACAUUCAACCUCAACCAAACACAUUGUCACCACCACCACAACAUCAACCACCACAUGAUGCGUAUUAUGGUUAUGGAUGCCUUACUUAUUUGCACUACCGCCUGAAAAGCACCUUACCGUUCAUACAGCACAAUUUCUACACUCUACCUCAGUGUGUAUAUAUAUAUAUACAUACACAAUCAGAAUUUAUAUAUAUAAAUAUUUGUUUUUUUGUGACAUUCAAGGUUUUACCUUUUAUACUUGUGUGCUUUUAUACCUUGUUUUACUUUUCUUAUUUUUUCUUAUAAAUAAAACACUUAACUAAA